GUAAUACUCCCUCCAUUCGGAAUUACUUGUCACAAAAAUGGAUGUAUCUACAACUAAAAUACAUCUAGAUACAUUCAUUUCUUGGACGAGUAAUUUCGAACGGAGCGAGUAGUAU
rnacentral:pre_miRNA from 1 species